rnacentral:rRNA from 1 species
ACUUUUUCGGAUCGGGGAGUAUGUUAACAGAGACAAACGGGGGCAUUUGUAUGGUCCCGUGAGAGGUGAAAUUCUUGGACCGUGGCCAGACAAACUACAGCGAAAGCAUUUGCCAAGAAUGUUUUUAUUAAUCAAGAACGAAAGUCAGAGGUUCGAAGGCGAUCAGAUACCGCCCUAGUUCUGACCGUAAACGAUGCCAACUAGCGAUCCGCCGAUGGAAAUUAUAUUGCCUUGGUGGGGAGCUUCCCGGAAACGAAAGUCUUCCGGUUCCGGGGGAAGUAUGGUUGCAAAGCUGAAACUUAAAGGAAUUGACGGAAGGGCACCACCAGGAGUGGAGCCUGCGGCUUAAUUUGACUCAACACGGGGAAACUCACCCGGCCCGGACACUGUGAGGAUUGACAGAUUGAUAGCUUUUUCAUGAUUCAGUGGAUGGUGGUGCAUGGCCGUUCUUAGUUCGUGGAGUGAUUUGUCUGGUUUAUUCCGAUAACGAGCGAGACUCUAACCUACUAAAUAGUUGGUACAUACUCUUAGUGUAUACAGCUUCUUAGAGGGAUUUGCGGCGUUCAGCCGAAAGAAAUUGAGCAAUAACAGGUCUGUGAUGCCCUUAGAUGUCCGGGGCUGCACGCGCGCUACACUGGCAAAAUCAACGUGCUUGUCCUACCCUGAAAGGGGCGGGUAAACCAUUGAAAAUUUGCCGUGAUUGGGAUCGGAAAUUGCAAUUAUUUUCCGUGAACGAGGAAUUCCAAGUAAGUGCGAGUCAUCAGCUCGCGUUGAUUACGUCCCUGCCCUUUGUACACACCGCCCGUCGCUGCCCGGGACUGAGCCAUUUCGAGAAAUUUGGGGACCGUUGAUUUAAUUUUUCUAAAUUACUUUGAUGGAAACCAAUUUAAUCGCAGGGGGCUUGAACACAAA